GAUGAACGCUGGCGGCGUGCCUAAUACAUGCAAGUCGAACGCUGAAGGAAGGAGCUUGCUCUUUCCGGAUGAGUUGCGAACGGGUGAGUAACGCGUAGGUAACCUGCCUGGUAGCGGGGGAUAACUAUUGGAAACGAUAGCUAAUACCGCAUAACAGUAGAUGUUGCAUGAUAUCUACUUAAAAGGUGCAAUUGCACCACUACCAGAUGGACCUGCGUUGUAUUAGCUAGUUGGUGAGGUAACGGCUCACCAAGGCGACGAUACAUAGCCGACCUGAGAGGGUGAUCGGCCACACUGGGACGGAGACACGGCCCAGACUCCUACGGGAGGCAGCAGUAGGGAAUCUUCGGCAAGGGACGGAAGUCUGACCGAGCAACGCCGCGUGAGGGAAGAAGGGUGUCGGAUCGUAAAGCUCUGUUGUAAGAGAAGAACGAGUGUGAGAGUGGAAAGUUCACACUGUGACGGUAUCUGACCAGAAAGGGACGGCUAACUACGUG
rnacentral:rRNA from 1 species